rnacentral:rRNA from 1 species
UACAGAGGUCCCAAGCGUUGUUCGGAUUCAUUGGGCGUAAAGGGUGUGUAGGUGGCGCCGUAAGUCGGGUGUGAAAUUUCGGAGCUUAACUCCGAAACUGCAUUCGAUACUGCGGUGCUUGAGGACUGGAGAGGAGACUGGAAUUCCUGGUGUAGCGGUGAAAUGCGCAGAUAUCAGGAGGAACACCGGUGGCGAAGGCGGGUCUCUGGGCCAUAACUGACGCUGAGGAGCGAAAGCGUGGGGAGCGAACAGG